rnacentral:rRNA from 1 species
UUGGUACGAGGUCGGAUCCAAUAGGACGCCCGCCAGUGUGUGGAAUCGGGUUAUUGGAUACCCUUGUAGUCCACGCAGUAAACGAUGAAUGUUAUCUGUCCGCCGGGAAUGACGGCUGGGUGGCACAGCGAAAGCGUUAAGCAUUCCACUNGGGGAGUACGCCGGCAACGGUGAAACUCAAAGGAAUUGACGGGGGCCCGCACAAGCGGAGGAACAUGUGGUUUAAUUCGAUGAUACGCGAGGAACCUUACCCGGGCUCAAACGACGCAGGGAUGUCCGUGAAAGCGGACAGUCCUUCGGGACCUGUGUCGAGGUGCUGCAUGGUUGUCGUCAGCUCGUGCCGUGAGGUGUCGGCUUAAGUGCCAUAACGAGCGCAACCCCCAUCUUCAGUUGCCAUCAGGUUAUGCUGGGCACUCUGGAGAGACUGCCGGCGCAAGCUGCGAGGAAGGCGGGGAUGACGUCAAAUCAGCACGGCCCUUACGUCCGGGGCGACACACGUGUUACAAUGGCAGGUACAGCGGGAGGCCAGGCGGCGACGCCGAGCGGAACCCGAAAACCUGUCUCAGUUCGGAUCGGAGUCUGCAACCCGACUCCGUGAAGCUGGAUUCGCUAGUAAUCGCGCAUCAGCCAUGGCGCGGUGAAUACGUUCCCGGGCCUUGUACACACCGCCCGUCAAGCCAUGGAAGCCGGGGGUGCCUGAAGUGUGCAACCGCAAGGAGCGCCCUAAGGUAAAACCGGUGACUGGGGCUAAGUCGUAACAAGG